rnacentral:rRNA from 2 species
AGACUCUCGGCAACGGAUAUCUCGGCUCUUGCAUCGAUGAAGAACGUAGCGAAAUGCGAUACUUGGUGUGAAUUGCAGAAUCCCGUGAACCAUCGAGUUUUUGAACGCAAGUUGCGCCCGAAGCCAUUAGGCUGAGGGCACGCCUGCCUGGGUGUUGCACA